rnacentral:rRNA from 1 species
CCUACGUGAGGCAGCAGUGAGGAAUAUUGGUCAAUGGCCGAGAGGCUGAACCAGCCAAGUAGCGUGAGGGAUGACUGCCCUACGGGUUGUAAACUUCUUUUAUAAAGGAGUAAAGUGAGUCACGUGUGCCUUUUUGUAUGUACUCGAUGAAUAAGCAUCGGCUAACUCCGUGCCAGCAGCCGCGGUAAUACGGAGGAUGCGAGCGUUAUCCGGUUUUAUUGGGUUUAAAGGGUGCGCAGGGGGUGGUGAAAGUCAGUGGUAAAAUUUGGGGGCUCAACCUAAAACUGCCGUUGAUACUGUAUGCCUUGAGUGCAGGUGAGGUAUGCGGAAUGCGUGGUGUAGCGGUGAAAUGCUGAGAUAUCACGAAGAACUCCGAUUGCGAAGGCAGCUUACCAGCGUGCAACUGACACUGAUGCACGAAAGUGUGGGUAUCGAACAGGAUUAGAUACCCGGGUAGUC